rnacentral:rRNA from 1 species
GGAACCGUGAGACAGGUGCUGCAUGGCUGUCGUCAGCUCGUGUUGUGAAAUGUUGGGUUAAGUCCCGCAACGAGCGCAACCCUUAUCCUUUGUUGCCAGCGGUCCGGCCGGGAACUCAAAGGAGACUGCCAGUGAUAAACUGGAGGAAGGUGGGGAUGACGUCAAGUCAUCAUGGCCCUUACGACCAGGGCUACACACGUGCUACAAUGGCGCAUACAAAGAGAAGCGACCUCGCGAGAGCAAGCGGACCUCAUAAAGUGCGUCGUAGUCCGGAUUGGAGUCUGCAACUCGACUCCAUGAAGUCGGAAUCGCUAGUAAUCGUGGAUCAGAAUGCCACGGUGAAUACGUUCCCGGGCCUUGUACACACCGCCCGUCACACCAUGGGAGUGGGUUGCAAAAGAAGUAGGUAGCUUAACCUUCGGGAGGGCGCUUACCACUUUGUGAUUCAUGACUGGGGUGAAGUCGUAACAAGGUAACCGUAGGGGAACCUGCGGUUGGAUCACCUCCUUA